AAUAAGUACAGUUUUGCACUGUUCAUAUCCAACCGUUUGUUUUAUUUAAAAUUUUUGUAUGUUUAGUAUUUUUAUUGUUAUUAGAUGAUAAAACAUAAAUAAUAUUUUAUGUGUGAUUAUUUUUUUUCAAAUUUUUUUUAAAUAAAAUGCACAGUUAAACGUUAGAGACAGAUACCUACCUAAUGGGCUGCAUUUAUU
rfam:Oryza sativa Japonica Group DNA, chromosome 8, cultivar: Nipponbare, complete sequence.